rnacentral:rRNA from 1 species
GACGAACGCUGGCGGCGUGCCUAAUACAUGCAAGUUGAGCGCUGAAGGUUGGUACUUGUACCAACUGGAUGAGCAGCGAACGGGUGAGUAACGCGUGGGGAAUCUGCCUUUGAGCGGGGGACAACAUUUGGAAACGAAUGCUAAUACCGCAUAAAAACUUUAAACACAAGUUUUAAGUUUGAAAGAUGCAAUUGCAUCACUCAAAGAUGAUCCCGCGUUGUAUUAGCUAGUUGGUGAGGUAAAGGCUCACCAAGGCGAUGAUACGUAGCCGACCUGAGAGGGUGAUCGGCCAAAUUGGGACUGAGACACGGCCCAAACUCCUACGGGAGGCAGCAGUAGGGAAUCUUCGGCAAUGGACGAAAGUCUGACCGAGCAACGCCGCGUGAGGGAAGAAGGUUUUCGGAUCGGAAAACUCUGUUGGUAGAGAAGAACGUUGGUGAGAGUGGAAAGCUCAUCAAGUGACGGUAACUACCCAGAAAGGGACGGCUAACUACGUG